rnacentral:rRNA from 1 species
CUACGGGUUGCAGCAGUAGGGAAUUUUCGGCAAUGGGCGCAAGCCUGACCGAGCAAUGCCGCGUGAAUGAUGAAGGCCUUCGGGUCGUAAAAUUCUGUUGUUAAGGAAGAACAUACAGUCUAGGAAAUGAGAUUGUACUGACGGUACUUAACCAGAAAGCUCCGGCUAGCUACGUGCCAGCAGCCGCGGUAAUACGUAGGGAGCGAGCGUUAUCCGGAAUUAUUGGGCGUAAAGCGUACGUAGGCGGUUUGUUAAGUCAAAUCUGAAAGCCCCCAGCUUAACUGGGGAGGGUGAUUUGAAACUGGCAGACUUGAGUAUGGCAGAGGUAAGUGGAAUUUCAUGUGUAGCGGUGGAAUGCGUAGAUAUAUGAAGGAACACCAGUGGCGAAGGCGGCUUACUGGACCAGAACUGACGCUGAUGUACGAAAGCGUGGGGAGCAAACAGGAUUAGAUACCCGGGUAGUC